rnacentral:rRNA from 1 species
GACGAACGCUGGCGGCGUGCUUAACACAUGCAAGUCGAACGGAAAGGCGCUGCUCUUGUUGGGUUCUCGAGUGGCGCACGGGUGUGUAACACGUGAGUAACCUGCCCCUGUCUUUGGGAUAACUCCACGAAACUCGGGCUAAUACCCGAUAGGAGCUCUUGCUCCAUAGUGUUGGAUGGAGAGUUUCGGCCGUUCUGGAUGGAAGGGAGGCUUAUCCGCUUGUUGGUCGAGUAGUUGCUUACCAAGGCUACGACGGAUAGGCGGCCUGGGAGGUUGACCAGCCACAUUGGUACUGAGAGACGGCCCAGACGCCUACGGGAGGCAGCAGUGGAGAAUAUUGCACAAUGGGCGGAAGCCUGAGGCAGCAACGCUGCGUGCGGGAUGACGGCCUACGGGUUGUAAACCGAUUUGGAAUGUGACGAAGCGGGAGUGACGGUAAUGGGUAAAGAAGCACCGGCUAACUACGUG